rnacentral:rRNA from 1 species
CGCACACACAUGCCACCAGCCCACCACCCACCCAUGCCCACGAUGCGGAUGUUGAACGGCUGGACGGCGAGCGGCGCGGAUGGCGACUGGCGCCAGGGAGGGCGGCGGCCGGCGACUGGCGUAAGGGAGCGCGGCGCGGGAGCAUGGCUUGGCGGCGGCAUAGGCUAGGGCAGCGGCGGCCGCGACGGAGCGCGGCUGGGCGCCGGCACGGCGAGCAGGGCAUGGCGGCCGCGGGAUCCUCUUCCUCCAUCUUGCCGUGGACCUCCCCUCCUCUGCGCUCACGCUCGACGGCCUCGUCGACAUCGCCUAUGGACGGGGCGGCGGCCGCGUCGGUGCGUGGCUUGGCUGCGGCGGCCGUGGCGGAGCUCGGCUGGGCGCCGGCACGGCGAGCAGGGCACAACGGCCGCGGGAUCCUCUUCCUGCAUCUUGCCGCGGACCUCCCCUCCUCUGCGCUCACGCUCGACGGCCUCGUCGACAUCGCCUAUGGACGGGUUGUGGCCAUGUCAGGGGAACGGAGCCCUCCACCUCCCCGGCCCCUUGUGCGCUGGCGGCGUGGACCUCGACCUCCCCGGCGGCGCGGAGUCAACCACCUCCCGGCGGCGCGUGCGCUGCAAGGGCCAUUUGCCCAGUUCGUCAAAUAGAGUGGUCUUUUGUAUAAGUUGAUGAAAUAGAGUUUGUUUGUUCGAUGGAUGAGUGAGUGCU